UUCUCAACAUAGGUGGCUUAUAAUUGGUUGUCAAGUGAGAUGAGUGAUCCGUUUCAGCAGAAAAAUCAGCUUCCCUUCCAGGAACUGACUUCUUAAUUUGCACCAAGAGAAUAGCAUGACUUCGGGAAGAUUCAGUAUUCAGCUUUGUGUUAGCGGCAUAUCUAUGAGCUUCUCCAACCCGUAGCAGUUCAAGAAAACUUUGCUGGUCCCGGACCUCCACUACAGUUGCCCCUGGUAAAGACACAUCACCAGUUUUUUGGUCUUCAACUAUGGGGAUGUUGUCAUUAGCAGGAUUUAGGAGGUCCUGAAUUGUUUCCAUAUAAAGCUGUAAGUACGAGACUGAAACUGAGUCGGUCUCCAAGCAAAUAUUUGCUAAUAUGUCUUCCAUUGAACGAACCAUGAUACCACGAGCAGAGACAUCUUCAUCACCUAAUCGUCCAAGGGUGUAAGUCUUUCCUGUCCCGGUCUGACCAUAAGCCAUCACUGUUCCAUUGUAACCAUCCAAGACACUCUCAACAACAGGUUUUGCAACAACUUCAUAAACACGCUUUUG
rnacentral:misc_RNA from 1 species